UACGGAGGGUGCUAGCGUUGUUCGGAAUCACUGGGCGUAAAGGGCGUGUAGGCGGUCUGUUAAGUCUGAUGUGAAAUCCCCUCGCUCAACGUGGAGGGGCCGUUCGAUACUGUCGUGACUCGAGUCCGGUAGGGGAGUGUGGAAUUCCCGGUGUAGCGGUGAAAUGCGCAGAGAUCGGGAGGAACACCCGUAGCGAAGGCGGCACUCUGGGCCGGUACUGACGCUGAGGAGCGAAAGCGUGGGGAGCAAACAGG
rnacentral:rRNA from 1 species